UCCGACUUCACGUCGGCGGUCUCGCUAGAGUGCUCGGCCGAACCGUUAGCAACUAACGACAAGGGUUGCGCUCGUUGCGGGACUUAACCCAACAUCUCACGACACGAGCUGACGACAGCCAUGCAGCACCUUCUCACAGACUCCCGAAGGCACCCCUCCUUUUCUGGAGGGUUACUGUGGAUUUAACCCAGGUAAGGUUUUGCGCGUUGCGUCGAAUUAAACCACAUACUCCACCGCUUGUGCGGGCCCCCGUCAAUUCCUUUGAGUUUCAGUCUUGCGACCGUACUCCCCAGGCGGCGAACUUAACGCGUUAGCUUCGAUACUGCGUGCCAAAUUGCACCCAACAUCCAGUUCGCAUCGUUUAGGGCGUGGACUAC
rnacentral:misc_RNA from 1 species